GUGCGAGCACAUGGAAAAUCCACUAGCAGCUAUCAGAACUAUGGAAAAAUCCCGUCCAAGUAAAAAACGCACUUUGUAAGUACACAACCAAAACUACCCGAGGACUGAUAUCUUGUCAAGGAAGAACACCAUAUCAUAACAUUGCACGCAAAUGACACAGGAUGACUGAUGGUUACAUGUUCGAAUCGGAUCAGGAGUUAAGUGCUUGAUGAUGGAAAGAGAUCAGAACAAAGUUUAAACAACAGCAGAUGGGCUCACGAAUCAUGCAAUACCUACCCUUCACCACAAGAGGACGCUAAAAGAAUGGCGAGGAGGAUAGAUGAUCGAAUGCCAUGGAUGCCACACAGCAUUGUUGGAAACGCAGCAAUGAGCCAAGAAAAACAUGCUCACAGAAUACGGCAGUAAAUUCUUGCAAAAAAAACAUUUCAAAUCUCUUCUCACAGCCAAUGAUUAGCAAAAAAAAACAGUACAAAGUAAUUAAAAAAAACAAUUAAUUUUCUAAUUAAAUGACUGUUUGCUGGUAACACAGUAAACAUUUGCUGCUCUGUACAUGGACAUCCACACAAAGAAACAGGGCCUUCCAGAGUUACACAGGAGAGCCAUUGCUGCCUCCACUAAUAGAAGAAGCAGAUGGAGUGAAGGAGGUACAAAGUAUUAAAACAAAACAGAAAAACACAAAAAAGAUCGCAGAAAGGCAGGGGUCUGUAUAUGAGAGGGAAAGUAAAUAUAAAAGAGGUAUUACUAUUUAGGGAAGAGGAUCACGUAACUUUGGGGUCUCUUUGGAUCUAACACUGUCUUAUUCAAGUCAAAACAAGAUCUAUUCAGCUCAUUGUUCAAAAAGACAUUCAAUAAACGUGCAUACACAUCUCUAUCUGACAAAAGCUAUAUAAUUACCACCUUGUUUUAGAGCGGGCUAGACACCACUAGACACUAGGAUAUUACCAUGUCUGUCCUGCUGCUCUACACUAGUAAUAUACACACAGACUGUCUCACUCCCACUAAAUGACACUGAUAAAUUACUUUUACACUUGUACAGUACCACUGUACAGACGGAUUUCAACAGCGAGACAGCGUAGAGUUUUUGUGAAAUGAUUGUUUCAGGACUUGUAUAUGGAAAGUUCUUACGAUUCUUUACAUUUUUAAUAAAUGCUUUAAGAAGAGGCAGAUUUAAAAGCUCAUGGCACUGUGGGAC